GCGCAACCCUUGUCCUUAGUUACCAGCACGUUAUGGUGGGCACUCUAAGGAGACUGCCGGUGACAAACCGGAGGAAGGUGGGGAUGACGUCAAGUCAUCAUGGCCCUUACGGCCUGGGCUAUACACGUGCUACAAUGGUCGGUACAAAGGGUUGCCAAGCCGCGAGGUGGAGCUAAUCCCAUAAAACCGAUCGUAGUCCGGAUCGCAGUCUGCAACUCGACUGCGUGAAGUCGGAAUCGCUAGUAAUCGUGAAUCAGAAUGUCACGGUGAAUACGUUCCCGGGCCUU
rnacentral:rRNA from 1 species